rnacentral:rRNA from 1 species
UACGAAGGGGGCUAGCGUUGCUCGGAAUCACUGGGCGUAAAGGGCGCGUAGGCGGCCGAUCAAGUCGGGGGUGAAAGCCUGUGGCUCAACCACAGAAUGGCCUUCGAUACUGGUUGGCUCGAGACCGGAAGAGGUGAGUGGAACUGCGAGUGUAGAGGUGAAAUUCGUAGAUAUUCGCAAGAACACCAGUGGCGAAGGCGGCUGACUGGUCCGGUUCUGACGCUGAGGAGCGAAAGCGUGGGGAGCGAACAGG